GGGGAAUCUUGCGCAAUGGCCGAAAGGCUGACGCAGCGACGCCGCGUGUGGGAGGACGCCUUUCGGGGUGUAAACCACUGUUGCCCGGGACGAAUUGCCUGGUUCGCCAGGCGUGACGGUACCGGGUGAGGAAGCACCGGCUAACUCCGUGCCAGCAGCCGCGGUAAUACGUAGGGGGCUAGCGUUGUCCGGAAUCAUUGGGCGUAAAGAGCGUGUAGGCGGUCCGGUAAGUCCGCUGUGAAAGUCGGGGGCUCAACCCUCGAAUGCCGGUGGAUACUGUCGGGCUAGAGUGCGGAAGAGGCGAGUGGAAUUCCUGGUGUAGCGGUGAAAUGCGCAGAUAUCAGGAGGAACACCAAUUGCGAAGGCAGCUCGCUGGGACGUAACUGACGCUGAGACGCGAAAGCGUGGGGAGCAAAC
rnacentral:rRNA from 1 species